GCAUAACUGGAAGGAUUUUCACUGUAUCAAGUCCUUGAAUCUGGUGAGGUUCAAGGGCAUAAGCGCAUUUGAUUGAUAACAAAACAUUGAUGAUUUUUUCAGUGAUUUCGCUGUUUAAAAAGAAGGAUUACAGCGCUGAAUGGAAGUUGACGUCAACACCAACUGCACAAAGUUCCAAGCACCACACCAUGCCUCCUACCACCUUGUAAAUGUAUAAUAGGGUAAAAACAACUCUGAGAAUGUUUUCCAAAUUUAUUUGUGUCAGUAUACUUUAUCAAAUGCAGACAAUCCUUUUAGCCUAACGCGGAAGUAACCCGCUGCCAAUAGCAAAUCGCAAAUGUCCUGCAAUUUUGCUCUUUGUUCUUCAUCGUCCUUUACUUCAAAAAGCUCCUGAAAAAAAUCAACUCGGCAAUUUUAAUAAAGAAUCUCAAUCCUUUUUUGAAAAUCGAAACGUUACCCGCUUGUCCAUUAUGCAAAGCAGAGAAAUGUGACAGGCUGACACUAUUGCAAACUAUACACAAGAUCGGUCGUGUAAUUUUCAUGACUUGUUUUUGUUUUUUCGGUUCAAAAUUGAAACUAUAGAUGGCCAAUUAUGCAAAUGUUGCCGCAAAGCGGCGCACAUAUAUAAUGUAUAUUGCAGACGAAAACUACAUACAAUUGUGUUGCGAUCGUUAGCAUUAAGCGCGGCAAAAAUGUUUUUCAUUUGUUGUGAAAAACAGCUAUUAGCCGUUUGUUUGAAAUAUUUCAGUUACCUGCUGUCUGAAGCUAGCAUGUUUGACAUUUUGUUACAUUUUAUUGAAGUUAAUUGUAAACUUGCAGAGUUGAAAACUUAUUUGGAAAGUUGGAAGAUCUUUGUUUAUAAUUACUAAUAAUGAUGGUGCAGAUGAUGAUUCUUGAACAAUGCUAAGUUAUCUUAUGAUUCUUUCAAAUACAGGGAUUAUAUUGAACAUUACAAUUUGCCUGCUGUGCUUGAGUUAACUUCAUCCCCAUGUCAUUGACCAGUGGCCCAGUCAUGUUAAGGGCAACUGUCGUGCAGCUUUGUCCUUUGCUGCUCUAUACUUUUCAAAGCUCUUCACUCUGUCUACUGACCAAGAUAUCAGAAGAAUUGAUCAACUCUGUAACUCCCUCACAGGUUAAUUAGGAGGGAAAACGUGGACAUAAUCAAAAAAUAUAUUUGGUUCAAUUCUGGCGUUAGAUGGCCAAGAAGGGAAAAGGCGGGAAAAAAAUUUGAUGUAAAACCGGUUGCCUUAACCGGUUGCCAACUUGCCAUAUUGCCAUAUCUUUCUUUUAAGAAGCAACGGAAAUGACGAAAAUGUACAUGCGACAAGUGUCACCGUGUGGUGGAAAAAUAAAGCUUGUACUUGAUGCCUUGUCGUGCAUUGAAGAGAACUUAUAUAAAGACCUGCACCAUAUGAAGAGGUUUUCUUUGGUGCUGACUGUCGUCGUUCGUGGACGUAGGAUGAGUUUAGAUAAUCCCCGUUUGCAGUUAGAAAGAGCAUGGUGGUGGCAGUGUUGGCUUAGGAGGUCAAAACUAACACAGCUGUUGGAAAGUAGGAUGAUGUAUUAAAUAAUGUUUCAACUGAGCGUUUGCUGCUUGUAUGUUUUUCUGACCAUGAGGCUGCAUUGUCUAAUGGAUGUUGUGGUGACAAGUUUACUCCCUAAUGCCAAAGCAGUAGUAUGUGCUUCCAUGUCUGUACUUCAUGGUUUAGGCAUGAUAAAAUUCAAAUAUGAAUAUGAGAACAUGUUGGACCACUAUUUGUUAAUGCAGCAGCUUUGAUGACAUGCUUCUAUAUAGUGGAAGUAUCAUUAAGCAUUUGUUAAUUUUUUUUGUGUUUGAUUACUCAAAACUACUUAAAGAAAGACUUUUCUUUGUUGCUCUCUUGUGAUCUGGUGAAGAGUUAGCUUCUUGUUACUUCAAUGACCAUUGUGCUUGAUUGCAUUAGUCUGCUACUGUUGGUUGACUCAUUGCAAGUAUAAUGUUGUAUUUGUUACUUUCACUUUUACAUGAUUGUGAUUUUUGUUUCUGAUAGGUUUGAAAACUAGAUCAAUUUUUUUAGGUUUAAGCAACAUUUACCUUUUUAUCACUUAAAUUAGGAAUUGAUUUUCUAUCUAUUUAGGUAAUUGCAUCAGCGAAGUGUUCAUUUUAGAGGGCACUUGCACGCUUAUUUUUGCAUGCAUUUGGACCUUAUUGUUACAUCCUCUGAUAUUUAUUGUUCCUACUUGUUGGUCUUCAGUUGGGAAUCGUUUGACAAUGAUUAGGUAUUACUUUGCAUCGUUUCCUCGUGCUGACAUGGUACAAAUGUGAGGCAGGAUGGUCACAGGAUUUGGCAUAUCCACAGAACAUGAAGUUGGAUUGCCCUCCUGACAGUGUUGUAUACAGUGGUGGUUGCUCUAUGGUGAGUUAGUUAAUAAAUACCUGAUAACGAUCAGUAUGACAAUAAGUUUCUGGUUAUUAAUUAUCACGUUUUUACUUUUUGAAUUUUGUACAUUAGUGGGAUUUUCUGUCCGCCGGUGGUGCUGUUUAGACGAUCGCAAGAUUCACGAAGUAACCGAUUAAUUUUACAUGUUUUUGUGGAAUUAGUUUUGUGUGUUGAAAUGUGUCGAGUUGUGGUUUAUCAGUGAUUUAUUUGUAUGCGUUUUUUUUUAUUCUGCGUACGCCGAAGCCGAAGUGGUCGAUAGACUGAAAGGGACGUGACAUAUGAAAAUUUAUGCCAGCUGAAGUUGAACUGCGCCUGAAAAUAACCUUGAUUUUCUUAGAGUAAAUUUAGCAGUGUAUGUUGCAUUUUCUGUACCCUGUUUUACUUGAUUUGUGAUAAUACCAUACUAUGGUAGAUUGUUCUGUGGUGAUUUACAUGGACAUGGAAUUUACUCCAUUUACAAUAUUAUCAGCGGGACAAAAGGUUUUCAUAUAUGCUAAUUUAUGUCAAUCUUUACCUGGAAUAUGUUCUCCAAAAUUGUCUUGUUACUCUUCCGCUUCUAUUUGCUAUAACGCUUUUUCUUGGUGAACUGUUAAUAACUUGUUGUAAAUGUAAAUAGUAUUGAUAAUAAACGAUACAAAAUAAAA